UACACUCCUGCGGGAGGCAGCAGUGGGGAAUUUUGGACAAUGGGCGAAAGCCUGAUCCAGCAAUGCCGCGUGAGUGAAGAAGGCCUUCGGGUUGUAAAGCUCUUUUGUCAGGGAAGAAACGGUGAAAGCUAAUAUCUUUUGCUAAUGACGGUACCUGAAGAAUAAGCACCGGCUAACUACGUGCCAGCAGCCGCGGUAAUACGUAGGGUGCAAGCGUUAAUCGGAAUUACUGGGCGUAAAGCGUGCGCAGGCGGUUUUGUAAGUCUGAUGUGAAAUCCCCGGGCUCAACCUGGGAAUUGCAUUGGAGACUGCAAGGCUAGAAUCUGGCAGAGGGGGGUAGAAUUCCACGUGUAGCAGUGAAAUGCGUAGAUAUGUGGAGGAACACCGAUGGCGAAGGCAGCCCCCUGGGUCAAGAUUGACGCUCAUGCACGAAAGCGUGGGGAGCAAACAGGAUUAGAAACCCGUGUAGUCCCA
rnacentral:rRNA from 1 species